GAUGAAGAACGCAGCGAAAUGCGACAAGUAAUGUGAAUUGCAGAAUUCCGUGAAUCAUCGAAUCUUUGAACGCACAUUGCGCUCCCUGGUAUUCCGGGGAGCAUGCCUGUUCGAGCGUCAUUACAACCCUCAAGCUCUGCUUGGUGUUGGGCCCCGCCGCCCCGGCGGGCCCUAAAGUCAGUGGCGGUGCCGUCCGGCUCCGAGCGUAGUAAUUUUUCUCGCUUUGGAGGCCCGGGCGCGUGCUUGCCAUCAACCCCCAAUUUUUUUCAGGUUGACCUCGGAUCAGGUAGGGAUACCCGCUGAACUUAAGCAUAUCAAUAAGCGGAGGA
rnacentral:misc_RNA from 1 species